GGGAAGGUGGCUCAGUGGUAGAGUGCUUGCCUUGCAUGCAUGAGGCUCUGGAUUCAGAUUUCUCA
rnacentral:tRNA from 1 species